rnacentral:rRNA from 1 species
CUAACAAGGAUUCCCCUAGUAACUGCGAGUGAAGCGGGAAGAGCUCAAAUUUAAAAUCUGGCGGCUUCGUCGCCCGAGUUGUAAUCUGAAGAAGCGUUUUCCGCGCCGGACCGUGUACAAGUCUCUUGGAAUAGAGCUUCAUAGAGGGUGAGAAUCCCGUCCAUGACACGGACUCCCGGUGCUUUGCGAUACGCUCUCAAAGAGUCGAGUUGUUUGGGAAUGCAGCUCAAAACGGGUGGUAAAUUCCAUCUAAAGCUAAAUAUUGGCGAGAGACCGAUAGCGAACAAGUACCGUGAGGGAAAGAUGAAAAGCACUUUGGAAAGAAAGUUAAACAGUACGUGAAAUUGUUGAAAGGGAAACGCUUGGAGUCAGUCGCGUCUUCCGGGACUCAGCCUCGCUUUUGCGUGGUGUACUUCCCGUUGGAUGGGCCAACAUCGAUUUGGGUCGGUGGAGAAAGGGGGAGGGAAUGUGGCACCUCUCGGGGUGUGUUAUAGCCCUCCUUCCGCACACGCUGGCACGGAUCGAGGACCGCAGCGCGCCAUUUUGGCCGGGGACUUCGGUUCCACGUAACGCGCUUAGGAUGUUGGCAUAAUGGCUUUAAGCGACCCGUCUUGAAACACGGACCAAGGAGUCUAACAUGCCCGCGAGUGUUAGGGUGGAAAACCCUUGCGCGUAAUGAAAGUGAAAGUUGGGACCCUCGUCAUUGGGGGGCACCGACGCCCGGCGCUGAGCUCUUGCGACGCUGCUGCGGUGGAGCGUGCAUGUUGGGACCCGAAAGAUGGUGAACUAUGCCUGAAUAGGGCGAAGCCAGGGGAAACUCUGGUGGAGGCUCGUAGCGAUUCUGACGUGCAAAUCGAUCGUCAAAUUUGGGUAUAGGGGCGAAAGACUAAUCGAACAUCU